CUGCUCCUGAAAUACUAAACUCAUCUGUGUUGCAAGGCACGACUCAAGGAAACAACAUCCAUUUCUUUUCUCCUCUGAAUUAUGUUGAAGAAAAUCCAAGACAUUUUAUCACUUUAUAUGCAAAUUGUGUACUCCUGAAAUUCAUAUGUUAAAACCCUAACCCUCAAAUGACAGUAUUUGAAGAUAGGACCUACAAAAAGAUAAUAAAGAUUAAAUGAUGUCAUCAGAUAAGGAGACUGAGUGUCAAAGAGGUCAUUUCACUUGUCAAAGGUCACAGUGAUUUGAGAGAUACUCAGGUUCCAUGUGGUCAGAACUAAAAUAGGAGUUCCUGUGUGAGACAUUAUGGACCAGCAAGAAGCAUCAAACCAGG